AUACGUAGGGGGCAAGCGUUAUCCGGAUUUACUGGGUGUAAAGGGAGCGUAGACGGUUCUGCAAGUCUGGAGUGAAAGCCCGGGGCUCAACCCCGGGACUGCUUUGGAAACUGUGGAACUAGAGUGCAGGAGAGGUAAGUGGAAUUCCUAGUGUAGCGGUGAAAUGCGUAGAUAUUAGGAGGAACACCAGUGGCGAAGGCGGCUUACUGGACCGAUACUGACACUGAGGAGCGAAAGCGUGGGGAGC
rnacentral:rRNA from 1 species